ACGUAGGGUGCGAGCGUUAAUCGGAAUUACUGGGCGUAAAGCGUGCGCAGGCGGUUCGUUAAGUCAGAUGUGAAUGCCCCGGGCUUAACCUGGGAACGGCAUUUGAAACUGGCGGGCUGGAGUGUGGCAGAGGGGGGUGGAAUUCCACGUGUAGCAGUGAAAUGCGUAGAGAUGUGGAGGAACACCGAUGGCGAAGGCAGCCCCCUGGGCCAA
rnacentral:rRNA from 1 species